rnacentral:rRNA from 1 species
UACGAGGGAUGCAGCGUUGCUCGGAAUUAUUGGGGCGUAAAGGGCAGGUAGGUGGUCUCAUUUGUCAGGGGUGAAACGGCCUUGGGCUUAACCCAAGAAGUGCCUUUGAACGGUGAGACUGGAGUCUUGGAGAGGGUCGUGGAAUUCCCAGUGUAGCGGUGAAAUGCGUAGAGAUUGGGAGAACACCAGAGGCGAAGGCGGCG